GAUUAGUGCUGAAGAGAGGUUCCUCUGCCCCAGACACUUCUCAGGGAACAUUUUUAACCAGUCACUUAUGUCGACAGCAGUCUCCAAGUCCCCAGUUUCAAUCAAGAUAACAUCCUUGAGAAUCCAAGUUUUGCCACGAUGUGACAAAUGAAAGAACCUUUCUUACCAUCACACUGAUGUGAUAACAGUGUAAACGGGAAAUAACAAGAGAG
rnacentral:lncRNA from 1 species